rnacentral:rRNA from 1 species
GACGAACGCUGGCGGCGUGCUUAAUACAUGCAAGUCGAACGGUAGGGCCCCAGCUUGCUGGGGUACACGAGUGGCGAACGGGUGAGUAACACGUGGGGGACACGCCCCGCACUUCGGGAUAAGCCUGGGGAACUGGGUCUAAUACCGGAUACGACCGCACCGAGCGGGUGUGGUGGAAAGGUUUUCGGUGUGGGAUGGGCCUGAGGGCUAUCUGCUUGUUGGUGGGGUAAUGGGCUACCAAGGCGGCGAAGGGUAGCCGGCCUGGGAGGGUGGACAGCCACAUGGGGACUGAGAGACGGCCCAGAAUCCAACGGGAGGCAGCAGUGGGGAGUAUUGCGCAAUGGGCGGAAGCCUGAUGCAGCGACGCCGCGUGGGUGAUGACGUCCUACGGGUUGUAAACACCUUUCUCCGUCGACGAAGGUUUUCUGACGGUAGAUAGAGAAGAAGCACCGGCUAACUACGUG